GAUUCUCAGCCUGGGCAUCUCCCCUGCUUGUAAGUCCCUCCCCACCUGGCCUCCACCCCAGACUCAGACCUUGUGCUGAGGCCCAGGCCUCCUCCAGUCUCCAACUACCACCGUCCUGUAAAACCCAGACUCUUGGAGAAAGGGGGCGGGGGAGAGGGCCGAAGAAAAAAAACAUUAGGAAAAAAACUCCCACCCAGAGAGCAUUCUUUCUGCAGCACUCAGGAAAAAGGAUGUCUCACAGGGGACGGGAAGGCGAAAUUUUUUCACAUCCAAAUGGAUUGCAAUUUCCCUCCAUUUAGCACCUGAAGGUAAUUAGCUCGAAGAGACUGCCGAGUGCGAAACACGUUCACGGAACAUUAACUCUCACACAUUCUCCAGUUGCAGGGAAUUAAUAGGAAAGAUUAAAGUUUAAAGAGAGCAAAAUGCCAUUACCUCGCCAGCCACCUCUCUCCGCGGCAGUAUCCAGCCCCCGAAAACCUUCGGCCAGUGCUUGGGCUGGGGCUCGGGUCUCAGCCUCCAGCCUGGUUGGCUGGGGCAUCUGGGUGCACCCCAUGAAUAGGGUUAGCAUGUGCUGAUAUGCACACAUGUGUGCCAAAAAGGGCAGCUCUGACCCUUCACAAGGCCAGUGCAACCCCCUUCCCAUCACCAAGAAGUUUGGGGUGGACGGGGCAGGUGGGUUCCUCUAGGCUGACUCCUGGCAUUGGUGUGUAUCGUGGCCCUAGGUAGGGGAUGCUAGAAGGGUUAGUAGCGUGGGUGUGCCUGUGAUUUUGGUGCAGAGGGAUGAGAUCCGGCGGCUUGGCUGGCAAGAGAGAAAUGGAGGGUGUCAGUCCCACCUUGGGUGUGUAUAGAGGCACUGGGUGAGGGGAAGGAGGAAGUCACUACCACUCUUGUGCAGCAGGCAGGAGCCACAAGCAUACAUGUACACACAUAUGCAAGCUCCCACUGCCACAUACAGAUGGCCUUUGUCACUCUGCUUUUUUCAAAGUUUAUGUAGGUUUCCAAAUUUGUAACGUUUCUAUGUUGUUUCAGUAUUUUAGGAAAAGAUGAAAGACAGAGAGAGGGAGACACACACAGAGAGAAAGAGAGAGAGAGAGAGAGAGAGAGUGGGGGAGAGAGAGAGUGAGGGAGAGAGAGAGGGGCAGAGGCAGGCAGGAGAGAGAGAGCGCGAGAUGAAAUUGAGACAUGGAAGAAUUUAUUGCCCAGAAAAUUCCAUUCUGCUAUCUGAUUCAAAAAGUCCAGUCCCCCCAGCUUCGGAAAAUCUAUUUUCCACAUUUUAAUACCCUGCAGAACAGUCCUCAUAACUCAUCCGAGUGUGUUAAGCACAGUUUUAUUAGAUCUGAAACAAAUUUUGGUGGGGAGAUACUAUAGGUCAUUAACCAUGGAGUAAUUUUAUCCUUGUUUCCCUAAUGAUGCCAUAAUGGCGAGCGAAUUUCUUAACUAAAGACCAAAGAACAUUUUGAAGGUCAGUUUCAUCUGUGAGCUCCUUCAAGCGCUUCUCAGAGAAGAUUGGAAAACUCGCCGAUUUUUUGAAGAGUCAUUAAUAAUGUGAAAGCUGAAAGCACCCUCCAUUUGCGUUCCUGCUUUUUACCUUUUAAUUUUAUAUCGUCCCCGCUCAGAGCCCCGCUCCCACUCCCUCACCCUCCUCUGGACCUCCCGCCUGCCUACCCGCCCCACGCAGGGAACAAGGCUGCCCCGUACCAGGUACCAGGCUAGCUGUGAGGCGCAGAUGGGGGCAGCAGUAGGGGAGGCAGAAGAGUUAGAGGCCAGGGCCCCACUGAGAUGGCGGGCCUUUGCUAUAUACCCAGAAUGUGGGGCACCAUGUGAGGAGAUUGUUAUAGACAUGGUACACACGUGUGUGUGUGUGCAUGUGUGCAAAUGUGUGGUGCAGGGGACUGGGGUCUCUGGAUUAUGUGCUGGCUGUGCACACAUUUGCUGGGGACCAAUGGGGACUUAGUAGUCUCUAUAGGUGUAUGCCCUGUUGGAAGCAGGAAGGGAGAGGGAACUGAAAACUAGCACUGGGUCCAGUGGCUGGGUAGUGGGUCAGGGGGGGGACUUGUGUCUCCUAACGGAGAUGAACACCACGUAGAGUGCAUGAAACAGUUUAUAGCAUGUUGUAAGCUCUGCUUACAUGUGUGUGCAAACGACUGUGUAUGUCCUGGGGCGGUGAGGUCAUCAAAACAAGAACCCCAAGGACCCACCCCACUGGUAAAUAUUUAGACACUAGAGACAGUGACCAUUGGCUGCCCAUCCCUCACUCCUUAGACCACUCACCCCUUGCUCCUCAGGCCUGGAGCCCCUCAUUUGCCCACUUAACUUGCCUCCUGGUCUCCAAUCCCUGGCUCCUUGGACCUCCCACCCUUGCCUAGUUCCAUCCCUCCCCCUGAACCCUUAUCCCCCUACCUCUUCACCCAUCUGAUAGCUGUCAUUGCAGGGUGCCCAGCCAGGAGCUGGAGUGGGACAGCAUUUCUCUGUGUGUGCAGGUUUGGGGAGGAGGGGGCGGUGUGGUGACACUCCAUGCUCCCAGAUGUGGUGGCAGCGAUAAUUCCAAUUUUAUGCCUUUGUUAUGGCUUUAAUCACUUUCUUUAUGCGUUUUGUUCCAGCGAUCAGGGAGAGACACCUGAUAGGCAAAGAGGAUACCAGGGGAACCAUUUUUAUUUGGAAUGUGGUGAGAAGUCUAAUUAGAAUCUGAAUUCUGCUGAGCCUUGAAAUGGCCAGCACUUUAUCCUGAUCGCCUUAGAUAUUGUUUCGAGUCAAUCAUCUGUCAUGGUGCAGCAGGAGAGCCUCUCCCUUCACACCGCACCCCUCCCACCACAGGGCCAGCCAGGGGUACACUGGGGGAGGGGCGGGGAGGGGAGGCUUCUGCCCUAGUAGGGGUAUGUGCCUCCUUCUGGGGGGGGUGCUGUAUGGCUAACCCUCCCCUGGUGAGGGCUGUCUUUGCUGGGUGCUGAGUUUGAGCUCAUGGAGGGUGGAAGGGGGAGAGGGGCUGCAGGAAGAGGGUGCUGAGGAGUCUAUUCGAAUUAGGAAAUAUUGAAGGGAAGCCAAGCUAGUCUGGGGCACCCCUAAGUGUUCCCAGCACACUGACCACCCCAUCUCCUAUUAAUGGCCCACAGGGGCUCUCAUCUCUUUACUGUUCCCUGGACAUAUUGUAUCUCUGCCACCUGCUCACUGUUCCUCAAACCCACCACUCCCAUUGCCAACUCCUCCCUGACCCAACAUUUGCCACAUGUUCAGCUCCUUUUCUCUGACUUUCCUUACUCCAGUCCUGCCACUGGAAUGCCGCUCUGGUUUGUUGUGCCAUCUAUCAAGCCCCAGGACUGGUUCUGCUUCCUCCAGAAAGCCUUCCUUGACUACUUGAACCCACACAGGCCCCAAACUCAGGACCAGGUCCCUGACUGGGUUGAGGCUGCCUUGGGUGCACCUAUGGCUAUGUCACAUGUCUGGUGGCUGUGUUGGUAAUUGUGUGUGUGAGCAUGUGUGAGUCUGGUCACAUGAGGAGAACACCAUGUUCAUUCAUCAUAAAUGAAUGCAACUGGACAAGUCUGUGAGAUUCUGAUGGAAUGAGCUCCCUCUCAUUUCACAGGUGAGAGACCCAAAUUCUGGCAAGAUCAACUUCUACUCAAGAGAAAUGAAGACAUGGGCCCACAUAAAAACUUAUAUGACAAUGAUCACAGCGGUAUUUUUCAUAAUGGCCAAAAAGUGGAAAUAAUCCAAAUGUCCAUCCACUGGUGAAUACAUAAAUAAAAUGUAGUCUAUCCAUA